rnacentral:rRNA from 1 species
GUAGUCCACGCCGUAAACGAUGGAUACUAGCUGUCCGGCGCAAGCUGGGCGGCUAAGCGAAAGUGAUAAGUAUCCCACCUGGGGAGUACGUUCGCAAGAAUGAAACUCAAAGGAAUUGACGGGGGCCCGCACAAGCGGUGGAGCAUGUGGUUUAAUUCGAUGAUACGCGAGGAACCUUACCAGGGCUUAAAUGUAGUCUGACAGGACUGGAAACAGUUUUUUCUUCGGACAGACUGCAAGGUGCUGCAUGGUUGUCGUCAGCUCGUGCCGUGAGGUGUCAGGUUAAGUCCUAUAACGAGCGCAACCCCUGUCGCUAGUUGCCAUCGAGUCAUGUCGGGAACUCUAGCGAGACUGCCAGUGCAAACUGCGA